rnacentral:rRNA from 1 species
UACGUAGGUGGCAAGCGUUAUCCGGAAUUAUUGGGCGUAAAGCGCGCGCAGGUGGUUUCUUAAGUCUGAUGUGAAAGCCCCAGGCUCAACCUGGGAAGUGCACUCGAUACUGCGUAGCUUGAGUAUCGGAGAGGUUGGUGGAAUUCUCGGUGUAGAGGUGAAAUUCGUAGAUAUCGAGAGGAACACCGGUGGCGAAGGCGGCCAACUGGACGAAUACUGACGCUGAGACACGAAAGCGUGGGGAGCAAACAGG